rnacentral:rRNA from 1 species
AUACAGAGGGUGCGAGCGUUAAUCAGAAUUACUGGGCGUAAAGCGCGCGUAGGCGGUCUAUUAAGUCAGAUGUGAAAUCCCAGGGCUCAACCUUGGAACUGCAUCUGAUACUGGUAGACUAGAGUUUUGGAGAGGGAAGUAGAAUUUCAGGUGUAGCGGUGAAAUGCAUAGAGAUCUGAAGGAAUACCAGUGGCGAAGGCGACUUCCUGGCCAAAAACUGACGCUGAGGUGCGAAAGCGUGGGUAGCAAACGGGAUUAGAAACCCGAGUAGUCC